rnacentral:rRNA from 1 species
GAUGAACGCUGGCGGCGUGCCUAAUACAUGCAAGUCGAGCGAAUGGAUUAAGAGCUUGCUCUUAUGAAGUUAGCGGCGGACGGGUGAGUAACACGUGGGUAACCUGCCCAUAAGACUGGGAUAACUCCGGGAAACCGGGGCUAAUACCGGAUAACAUUUUGAACCGCAUGGUUCGAAAUUGAAAGGCGGCUUCGGCUGUCACUUAUGGACGGACCCGCGUCGCAUUAGCUAGUCGGUGAGGUAACGGCUCACCAAGGCAACGAUGCGUAGCCGACCUGAGAGGGUGAUCGGCCACACUGGGACUGAGACACGGCCCAGACUCCUACGGGAGGCAGCAGUAGGGAAUCUUCCGCAAUGGACGAAAGUCUGACGGAGCAACGCCGCGUGAGUGAUGAAGGCUUUCGGGUCGUAAAACUCUGUUGUUAGGGAAGAACAAGUACUAGUUGAAUAAGCUGGCACCUUGACGGUACCUAACCAGAAAGCCACGGCUAACUACGUGCCAGCCGCCGCGGUAA